GGCCGGGUAUUUACCCGUCUGUGAUGACCGCAAUCACAGACGGGUUUUUGCUGUCUUUGUGUUAACGGUUCUUGCGAGUUUUGCGGGUCUCUUCUCUUGCUCACCUUUUCUCUUUGCUAGCUUGAUGUAUUGUUGCUUUUCUUUCUUUUUUUUCGUGAACUGCGUUGUUUGGUCCUUGCGGUUGGCUAGCACAGGCAUAUUUUCUCCUCACUCUUGCUCAGUUGCUCUCUAUGCUAUCUUGUAUACAAACUGUGUACUCUAGAAGUGACAAAGAUGUCGGUUCCCAGAGCUGCUAGGGCUCACGCCUUAAGGUCGUCGCUGUGGCCGUCGCUCCUACCUCUAUCAUCGUUGGUCUCCCUCUCUUCCCCUGUGGUGAUAAUCACCAGAGGCCGAAGGGAGUGGGGAUCCAUUACUUUUAAUAUGUUUUUUCACUAGAUCGAGUCUUUAGGGUUAGAGUCUCUUCAUGCUAAGUUUUUUGGUUUUGGUGAUUUAUUUUCUCCUCCUUACUCGUCCAGUGACGGUGAGAUGGUAGGGUGAAACCGUUUUUUUCAUGGCGGCUCCGUUGAAGAUGCGGGCAACAACUACGGCGUUGGGAUCCUCAUGGAUUUGAUAACAUAUAGACUUUUAUUUUCGGAUGGCGAUAUCAAGACAGAGAUGGUGUC
rnacentral:lncRNA from 1 species